CGUAAAGAACUUGCCUCACAGAUAGGGACAACAUUUGGAAACGAAUGCUAAUACCUGAUAUUAUGACCUUAGGGCAUCCUAGAAUUAUGAAAGCUAUAUGCGCUGUGAGAGAGCUUUGCGUCCCAUUAGCUAGUUGGAGAGGUAACAGCUCACCAAGGCGAUGAUGGGUAGCCGGCCUGAGAGGGUGAUCGGCCACAAGGGGACUGAGACACGGCCCUU
rnacentral:rRNA from 1 species